CGCCUCCUGCAAAAAUCAACGUAUAGGAGGUCUUGCCUGCCCAGUGACAAGUUAAACGGCCGCGGUAUUUUGACCGUGCGAAGGUAGCGCAAUCACUUGUCUUUUAAAUGAAGACCUGUAUGAAUGGUGGAACGAGGGCUUAACUGUCUCCCUUUUCAAGUCAAUGAAAUUGAUCUGCCCGUGCAGAAGCGGACAUAAAAAUACAAGACGAGAAGACCCUUUGGAGCUUAAGAUACAAGAUCAACUAUGUCAAGAAUCCCCAAACUAGAUUAAACUAAAUAGCUAACUGAUCCCUAUCUUCGGUUGGGGCGACCGCGGGAGAAAACAAAGCUCCCACGCAGACUGGGGUUACAUCCCUAAAACCAAGAAAGACAUCUCUAAGUCACAGAACAUCUGACCACAAAGAUCCGGCCUAACCCGCCGACCAACGGACCAAGUUACCCUAGGGAUAACAGCGCAAUCCCCUUCCAGAGUCCAUAUCGACAAGGGGGUUUACGACCUCGAUGUUGGAUCAGGACAUCCUAAUGGUGCAGCCGCUAUUAAGGGUUCGUUUGUUCAACGAUUAAAGUCCU
rnacentral:rRNA from 1 species